CUCUGUCUCUCUCUCUCAAAAAUAAGUAACCAUAUAUAUUUUUUUUUUUUUUAAAGAAUCAAACACCUAGAAAAUAAGACUGCAGAAUUGGAGCAAUGCGACAAGAGCAAAUGACUUAAUGGUGGUUGAGGGAAGCCUUACUGGAGUCAAAAGUCUGAGAAAAAUGAAUGCAAGCAUUGGCCAAGAAGCAGUCAAGUAUUAAAGGGAUAGUCUAAGACUGGCUGAAAGAGGCUUGAUAUAGUCCAGAUAUAUUGACUCCGUCCAGAUAUAUUGACCCAAACUCAGAUAUACAGAAUAAUUAAAGAUGACCUCAUCUAGGAAAAACAAUCUUCCAGAUUGUGAGUUACACUAUGGAGAGACCCAUGUGACCAGGAACUGAUAAUUCUGUCUGAUAGCCAGUGAGGACCUGGGGUAUGACAACAGCCAUCUGAGUGAAGCUGGAAGUGCAUUUUUGAGACUUCCCAAAUAGUCUGAGGUUGGAAAUAGAUUCUUCUCCAGUUGAGCCUCGAGUUGACUGCAGUCCCUGCCAAUACCUUGGUUGUAGCCUUGUAGGAUACCUACAAGGUAUCCAGCUAAGCUGUGCCCAGAUUUCUGACCUACAGAAAUGUCCUUAAGGUGUGAUGAGAAUGCUUUUGGUGGUGAUGGAAGACAUUGGCCAUGCUCCUCCACCUCCAGAGAAUUGAGAAGCCUGGGAAUUGCUUAAAUGCACAUGGAAGUGAUAAAACCACAUGCAGUAGAAAAAGACAGCGAAGACACAGAAAGGAAAAGAUGACAGUCCAAUCCAGUGUAGACUUUACGGAGAUCAUAUGAGAGAAGAGGAGAACAAUGAUGCUUGAAAGGUGAGUGAUUUUUUUUAAAGGUAUAUAAUUUUUAAAGGUAAGGCAAUUGGGUUCCAGAGUUGCUUUUUGAAUGCAGGUCUCUCUCUUUUCUCUCUCCCUGUAUCCUUCUCUUUCUACCUUCUUUCUCCAGUAGGGAGUAUUGAUUUUUGACAGAUUUACGUGAUUUACAGAUUUAAACUAGUAUCUUUUGUUUCUAAAGUAGUAGCUUUGUGCAGAUAUUCCAAUAGUAUUACUUUUUACAAAAAACAAACUCAGAGC